rnacentral:lncRNA from 1 species
ACUCGUUCCUCCCUUAGCUGAUGUCACAAAGAUGCUGCUGUGAAGGCUCAAAGGUGAUUUUCACAAGGCUGCAAAUUCCCUCACAGCUCAGCCUGUGGUCUCCAGACACAGCCAGGGCUAUGCACAAACCCUUGGAAAGGGUUUGUGUCCACACAGAGGAAAUGAUGAGGAGUUACAUUUGGUGGGGUACCCAGAGCAGGCACCCCAGGAACGGGGCUGGGUGCGGUGGGAGAGCUGAGUGAGAGCUGAGCUGGGUACACCCGGAUCCCUUCGCUGCCUGGCUUGGUCUUUGCCCUCUGGAAGCAGCAGGGAGGAGGCAGCAAACAGCAUCAGGGACACCCAUCAACUAAUUGAAGCCAUGCACAGGAAAUACACUGCACAGGUGCUAAACCACUGCAGAUGUUAGAAAGGCACGAGCAUGCUUCCAACAUGUUUAAUAUUUUUCGGUGUUAUUUUGCUGGCACUGAAAGCCCAACCUGUGUCGCCAGAUCCCUGAACUGGGACUCCAGGGAUGUGUAUUCCACUCUUGGAGCUGUUUUUAACAUCUUGGACAAGCCUGGGAAGGAGGUGGUUGGGCCUCAUUCAAAGCUCAGUUCUGCUGAGGGAAAACAAUAUUACUUCUUUGGGACUAUCCAAAUUUCUCCUAAGGGAGCAGAGGACCAAACACAGCUUUUCUGAUGGAUAAAUUCAUGGAUUUCAGAACCAUUCUCCUGAGGAGGCUCAGUGGAUGUCAAGAGGCAGGAAUUGUGCAAGAAUGAUACAAGGCAACCAGGGAAAAGUUGUUGAACUAAAUAGAAAAUAUUAUUUCCCCCCCACAGCUGCUGAAUUCCCCCUGGAAUAUUUUUCUUUACAUUGUUAAAGGAAGCUCAAUCAUGUCAUGAUAUUUUUUUGCUGUAAUAAUCAGUGCAUCAGUACUUCAGACUAUCAUGAGGGGAAGUAUUUUAGCCCAGAGACAGACAAUAAAAAUAAAUGUGAAC